AUGUACAUUCCACAAAUUUGGUGCAUUGGUUUAACAUUUGUAUCAGCUCAAACACUUGAGGUAUCUAACAAUGCACAAUUGCAAAGAUAUAAACAGCCUGCCAGAGAACAUUCACAAGUUGUAAAGGAUGUGAGAAUCUUGGAAAUUGAAGUUGUCCCCUUGUGUGCCUUGAAAGCCAAGCUUGGUACAAGGGUGCAUCUUACCUUAAUGAAAUUACACUGCAGCAACAAUGUUCACAACAUUGGAUUGUUGAAAGGAGUACCCUCUGGGAGGGAUCAAAGAAUAAUUAUGAAGGUAUUUGAUGAGCUUUGUCCUCCACCUUGCAUAGAACAUAUUAACAUCAAAGGAUACUUUGGUAAUCGGCUCCCAAGGUGGAUGAUGUCAACAUCAACGAUAUCCCUAAAGAGCUUGAGACUUCUAACGAUUCGUAGCCUGGCUUGCUGCACCCAACUCCCUGAUGGCUUGUGUCAGCUCCCAUGUCUGGAGGUGCUAUUAGUUGAUGGAGCUCCAAUGAUCAAGCGCAUUGAGUCUGAAUUCGUGCAACCCUGGAGUCAGUAUGGCCAUUCUUCAUCCCAGGCAGCAGUGUCAUUUCCGAAAGUGCACAAGAUGAUCUUAUAUUCUCUGGCGGCAUGGGAGGAGUGGGAGUGGGAGGAGGAAGUGCAAGCUAUACCAGCCUUGGAGGUUCUUACCAUCACAGAUUGCAAAUUGAGGUGUAUCCCUCCCGGCCUUGCCUCCCAUGCGAGGGCUUUGAAGAAGUUAACCAUAUGGAGCGUCCAGGGUCUCCAGGCUCUAGAGAACUUGGCUUCUGUAGUCCAGCUCGAUCUAUUUGACUUACCCAACCUGAUUAAUAUCUCCAAUUUCCCCAAGUUGCAAAAGCUUGAGAUCGAUCGCUGCCAGAAGCUUGAGUCUCUGCAGGGGAUGGAUCAACUCCGAAGACUCGUGUUGACAGUUUACUAUGACACACCACUCCCGUUAUACCUGCAAAUUGGGCCGUCCCCGCCGCACCCCCUCGCCGGCGACGGGGAGGAUAAGGGCGCCAGCACCCCCCGCCUCCUCGGGCCUCUCUCCCACUCACCACCGCUCUCCCUCUCGGCCUCUGCGCCUUCCCCCACGUCAGAUCCACCUCCCUCUCCCCUUCGAUCCCCUCUGCCCGAGCGUGCUCGCCGCCGUUCACCGUCGUUCCCGCGGCCACCGUGCCCCGAUUGCCCCGACGACGUGCCCGAACGGCUCCCCGCCGUCGACUACGUCGACUACGCCAUCGGGAACGAGCCGAGCGCCUCUGCACCGACCUCCACGAGCUCGUCUUCAACCUUCGGGUCGCCGGCGUUCGUCGCCGAUUCCGGCUACCCCGCGCCCUCCCCGAGCUCACUGCCAACCCCUACGGCUCCGCUGUGA
rnacentral:rRNA from 1 species